rnacentral:rRNA from 1 species
AACGAACGCUGGCGGCAGGCCUAACACAUGCAAGUCGAGCGCGCCCUUCGGGGUGAGCGGCGGACGGGUGAGUAACGCGUGGGAACGUGCCCUUCUCCGCGGCAUAGCCUCGGGAAACUGCGAGUAAUACCGCAUACGCCCUUUGUGGGACAGACUUAUCGCGGAAGGAUCGGCCCGCGUUGAAUUAGGUAGUUGGUGGGGUAAUAGACCACCAAGCCGACGAUCCAUAGCUGAUUCGAGAGGAUGAUCAGCCACACUGGGACUGAGACACGGCCCAGCCUCCUACGGCAGGAAGCAGUGGGAAUUCUUAAACAAUGGAGGCAACCCUAGUCUGGCCAUGCCGGGGGAGUGAUGAAGGUCUUAGGGUUGUAAAGCUCUUUCAGCUGGGAAGAUUUUGACGGUACCAGAAGAAGAAGGCCCGGCUAACUCCGUG